GAAUAGGGGAGCCGGAGGGAAACCGAGUCUUAAUUGGGCGUUAAGUUGCAGGGUAUAGACCCGAAACCCGGUGAUCUAGCCAUGGGCAGGUUGAAGGUUGGGUAACACUAACUGGAGGACCGAACCGACUAAUGUUGAAAAAUUAGCGGAUGACCUGUGGCUGGGGGUGAAAGGCCAAUCAAACCGGGAGAUAGCUGGUUCUCCCCGAAAGCUAUUUAGGUAGCGCCUCGUGAAUUCAUCUCCGGGGGUAGAGCACUGUUUCGGCUAGGGGGCCAUCCCGGCUUACCAACCCGAUGCAAACUGCGAAUACCGGAGAAUGUUAUCACGGGAGACACACGGCGGGUGCUAACGUCCGUCGUGAAGAGGGAAACAACCCAGACCGCCAGCUAAGGUCCCAAAGUCAUGGUUAAGUGGGAAACGAUGUGGGAAGGCCCAGACAGCCAGGAUGUUGGCUUAGAAGCAGCCAUCAUUUAAAGAAAGCGUAAUAGCUCACUGGUCGAGUCGGCCUGCGCGGAAGAUGUAACGGGGCUAAACCAUGCACCGAAGCUGCGGCAGCGACGCUUAUGCGUUGUUGGGUAGGGGAGCGUUCUGUAAGCCUGUGAAGGUGGCCUGUGAGGGUUGCUGGAGGUAUCAGAAGUGCGAAUGCUGACAUAAGUAACGAUAAAGCGGGUGAAAAGCCCGCUCGCCGGAAGACCAAGGGUUCCUGUCCAACGUUAAUCGGGGCAGGGUGAGUCGACCCCUAAGGCGAGGCCGAAAGGCGUAGUCGAUGGGAAACGGGUUAAUAUUCCCGUAC
rnacentral:rRNA from 1 species